UACGAAGGGGGCUAGCGUUGUUCGGAAUUACUGGGCGUAAAGCGCACGUAGGCGGCUACUUAAGUCAGGGGUGAAAUCCCAGAGCUCAACUCUGGAACUGCCUUUGAUACUGGGUAUCUCGAGUAUGGAAGAGGUGAGUGGAAUUCCGAGUGUAGAGGUGAAAUUCGUAGAUAUUCGGAGGAACACCAGUGGCGAAGGCGGCUCACUGGUCCAUUACUGACGCUGAGGUGCGAAAGCGUGGGGAGCAAACAGG
rnacentral:rRNA from 1 species